GACUGGGUGGCUUAGUUGGUUAGGUAAGGUCAAAAAGUCCGAAUCUAUAGAUCGCGAGUUCGAUCCUCGCCCCGGUCA